rnacentral:rRNA from 1 species
AAAGGUAAGCUACUAAGAGCGAAUGGUGGAUGCCUUGACUGGUAAAGGCGAUGAAGGACGUACUAGACUGCGAUAAGCUACGGGGAGCUGUCAAGAAGCUUUGAUCCGUAGAUUUCCGAAUGGGGCAACCCAAUGUAUAGAGAUAUACAUUACCUAUAUAGGAGCGAACGAGGGGAAUUGAAACAUCUUAGUACCCUUAGGAAAAGAAAUCAAUUG